rnacentral:rRNA from 1 species
CUUAGGGAGGAGCUUGCGUCACAUUAGUUAGUUGGUGGGGUAAAGGCCUACCAAGACUAUGAUGUGUAGCCGGGCUGAGAGGUUGAACGGCCACAUUGGGACUGAGACACGGCCCAAACUCCUACGGGAGGCAGCAGUAGGGAAUUUUCGGCAAUGGAGGAAACUCUGACCGAGCAACGCCGCGUGAACGAUGAAGUAUUUCGGUACGUAAAGUUCUUUUAUUAGGGAAGAAUAAAUGAUGGAAAAAUCAUUCUGACGGUACCUAAUGAAUAAGCCCCGGCUAACUAUGUGCCAGCAGCCGCGGUAAUACAUAGGGGGCAAGCGUUAUCCGGAAUUAUUGGGCGUAAAGGGUGCGUAGGCGGUUAAAUAAGUUUAUGGUCUAAGUGCAAUGCUCAACAUUGUGAUGCUAUAAAAACUGUUUAGCUAGAGUAAGAUAGAGGCAAGUGGAAUUCCAUGUGUAGUGGUAAAAUGCGUAAAUAUAUGGAGGAACACCAGUAGCGAAGGCGGCUUGCUGGGUCUUUACUGACGCUGAGGCACGAAAGCGUGGGGAGCAAACAGGAUUAGAUACCCUGGUAGUCCACGCCGUAAACGAUGAGUACUAAACGUUGGGUAAAACCAGUGUUGAAGUUAACACAUUAAGUACUCCGCCUGAGUAGUACGUACGCAAGUAUGAAACUUAAAGGAAUUGACGGGACUCCGCACAAGCGGUGGAUCAUGUUGUUUAAUUCGAAGGUACCCGAAAAACCUCACCAGGUCUUGACAUGCUUCUGCAAAGCUGUAGAAACACAGUGGAGGUUAUCAGUUGCACAGGUGGUGCAUGGUUGUCGUCAGCUCGUGUCGUGAGAUGUUGGGUUAAGUCCCGCAACGAGCGCAACCCUUAUUGUUAGUUACCAGCACGUAAUGGUGGGGACUUUAGCAAGACUGCCAGUGAUAAAUUGGAGGAAGGUGGGGACGACGUCAAAUCAUCAUGCCCCUUAUGACCUGGGCUACAAACGUGAUACAAUGGCUGUUACAAAGGGUAGCUGAAGCGCAAGUUUUUGGCGAAUCUCAAAAAACA